CAGCUGAUGAUUCUAGUGGUG
rnacentral:snRNA from 1 species